CUGGAGGUAUCAGAAGUGCGAAUGCUGACAUAAGUAACGAUAAAGCGGGUGAAAAGCCCGCUCGCCGGAAGACCAAGGGUUCCUGUCCAACGUUAAUCGGGGCAGGGUGAGUCGACCCCUAAGGCGAGGCCGAAAGGCGUAGUCGAUGGGAAACGGGUUAAUAUUCCCGUACUUGGUGUUACUGCGAAGGGGGGACGGAGAAGGCUAUGUUGGCCGGGCGACGGUUGUCCCGGUUUAAGCGUGUAGGUGUGUGUUCCAGGUAAAUCCGGUUCACUUUAACACUGAGGCGUGACGACGAGGCACUACGGUGCUGAAGCAACAAAUGCCCUGCUUCCAGGAAAAGCCUCUAAGCAUCAGGUAACAUCAAAUCGUACCCCAAACCGACACAGGUGGUCAGGUAGAGAAUACCAAGGCGCUUGAGAGAACUCGGGUGAAGGAACUAGGCAAAAUGGUGCCGUAACUUCGGGAGAAGGCACGCUGACACGUAGGUGAAGUGAUUUACUCAUGGAGCUGAAGUCAGUCGAAGAUACCAGCUGGCUGCAACUGUUUAUUAAAAACACAGC
rnacentral:rRNA from 1 species